rnacentral:rRNA from 1 species
AGUGAACGCUGGCGGUAGGCCUAACACAUGCAAGUCGAACGGCAGCACAGUAAGAGCUUGCUCUUACGGGUGGCGAGUGGCGGACGGGUGAGGAAUACAUCGGAAUCUACUUUUUCGUGGGGGAUAACGUAGGGAAACUUACGCUAAUACCGCAUACGACCUACGGGUGAAAGCAGGGGAUCUUCGGACCUUGCGCGAUUGAAUGAGCCGAUGUCGGAUUAGCUAGUUGGCGGGGUAAAGGCCCACCAAGGCGACGAUCCGUAGCUGGUCUGAGAGGAUGAUCAGCCACACUGGAUCUGAGACACGGUCCAGACUCCUACGGGAGGCAGCAGUGGGGAAUAUUGGACAAUGGGCGCAAGCCUGAUCCAGCCAUACCGCGUGGGUGAAGAAGGCCUUCGGGUUGUAAAGCCCUUUUGUUGGGAAGGAAAAGCAGCAGGUUAAUACCCCGCUGUUCUGACGGUACCCAAAGAAUAAGCACCGGCUAACUUCGUG